UUUGUCUAAACAACAGGGAAGAGCUGAAGCCCAGUCUUGAAGCAGCAAGAUCGAACUGUAGGAGAUUGUCCUCCAAUUGGUGGCCUCCAAUGACAAUUGAAGUCCUAGGAUUCACUCCUCCAUCCACAAAUCCAAGGCACAACACAUCAUCUUUAACCUGCACCAUUGAGUUUGCACCAAAAAUCCUCCAGUAAACAUUCUUGCUUUGCAGGACAAGAUCAAUUUGAGGCACUGCUGGGCCAACGCGUGUGCUGCCAAUGUUCUUUGAGUUGAAACAUGCUCCGAAAGGUGCUACAGAUGCCACCCUAGGGACAUUGGCUUUGGCUAGCUCUCUGACAAAAGAGUCAGUGACAGCAUUGUAGAUUGUUGUUUCCAUCACCGUGUAAGCAUUUACUGUGCUAAUCUUGGUUCCACCAUAGCCUUCUCUGUUAAUGGACAGCAAUGAAGCGUUUAAUGGAACAACAUUUUCAUUGAUCUUGAUAGACUUGACUCCAAUGAAGUAAUCAGUGGAAGGCUCUCCUUCAAAGUAACCAGAUGCUGUGCUUACAGGGUUGAGAAUUAAUGGGGUGUAGAUGAGGGACUGAGAAAGAUCAUCAGCAUGUGGAAGCAAAACAUAAGGUCCAUCUCC
rnacentral:lncRNA from 1 species